rnacentral:rRNA from 1 species
GAUGAACGCUGACAGAAUGCUUAGCACAUGCAAGUCUACUUGAAGCUAACUUCGGUUAGUGGAGGGUGGCGGACGGGUGAGUAACGCGUAAAGAACUUGCCUCACAGAUUGGGACAACAUUUGGAAACGAAUGCUAAUACCGGAUAUUAUGAUACUUCUGCAUGGAAGAAUCAUGAAAGCUAUAUGCGCUGUGAGAGAGCUUUGCGUCCCAUUAGCUAGUUGGAGAGGUAACGGCUCACCAAGGCGAUGAUGGGUAGCCGGCCUGAGAGGGUGAACGGCCACAAGGGGACUGAGACACGGCCCUUACUCCUACGGGAGGCAGCAGUGGGGAAUAUUGGACAAUGGACCAAAAGUCUGAUCCAGCAAUUCUGUGUGCACGAUGAAGUUUUUCGGAAUGUAAAGUGCUUUCAGUUGGGAAGAAGCAAGUGACGGUACCAACAGAAGAAGCGACGGCUAAAUACGUGCCAGCAGCCGCGGUAAUACGUAUGUCGCAAGCGUUAUCCGGAUUUAUUGGGCGUAAAGCGCGUCUAGGUGGUUAUAUAAGUCUGAUGUGAAAAUGCGGGGCUCAACUCCGUAUUGCGUUGGAAACUGUAUGACUAGAGUACUGGAGAGGUAAGCGGAACUACAAGUGUAGAGGUGAAAUUCGUAGAUAUUUGUAGGAAUGCCGAUGGGGAAGCCAGCUUACUGGACAGAUACUGACGCUAAAGCGCGAAAGCGUGGGUAGCAAACAGG